rnacentral:lncRNA from 1 species
GUCGGUCUCCUAAUCUAUUGAGAACUUUCUUUCAGCCACUUGUUUCUUAUCCAUUAUAAAAUGUAUUUUUUUUUUCUAGCCAGAUUCUUGAGUGGUAUGAUUAGAUCUCAACAUCAAAUAUCGUAUGAAGUUUUCCUCUUGGCUAAAAGUUAACCAGCAAUUCCGUUAGCUGACAGAUGGUCAAACAUACACCAAGAAGUUUAAUUCAGAAAUGGUUCGGUCAACAAGAAAAGAUCGAGUCCAAUCUCAAGUCGGUCGGGUUGUAUAGUGGUUCUGAUGUCGGAGAUGUUUAGAAAAAACUUUUACUGCAAGUAAAAACUAAGAAGGAGAUCCUUACUAGUUUCAACCAGAUUCCUCAUAAUCGAACUGUUGAUACGAGCUCAAGCAUUAAGACUUUAAUGCCAGAAAAAACUUCGAGGCGAAGGGGACGCAUGGAUGUCAUUGAGGCACGUGUCACUUCUAUAUUUAAGGACGCAUGAAUGAGCCCUGCAGACGCAAAAGGUGUCUCGUAAUCGGUGAUGCGCUUCUCCACAGACGCAUAAGAUGGCCAAUUUGGUAAGUCAACAGGCCAUUUUCGUAAAUUUCCCUUUUUUUAUAACCAACACAAUCUAUAUUGUUUGUUUAGGGAGAAUUGUUAUAAAACUAGCAGAGUAAAGUAAAGUUACUUCUAGGGAAGACAUUUCAUGUUUUUUUUUAGAUUAUCGGUUUAAUAUUAUUUCUAAGGCUUUGCAUUGUGGGACGCCACCCACUAACGGCCCACUUUCACAUCGGCGAAUAACGCAUGUUAACCCACAAGGCAGUGGGGCGCCAACCCGGUACCCCCCAUUCCCCUUGUUCCGUUAAAGUGACGCCCUUAGGGCUAAUUCAGGGGUCCCACCCCAAUUCAUCGAUCUAACUUUUUUUUUAAUUUCUAGUUAAAUCACAACAUGAUAAUUAUAAGGUGGGUUAGUUAAAAUAUAUUGUUUACGUGACGGAUCGUUAUGUUAAACCGUAUGCAACACAUAGGCUAAUGGAGUUGCAGACAAUGCAAGCUUAGGCUCGCUCUUGCGCUGACACGAGGCUAUGUGACAUAAGAACAGAUGAAUAUAGAUUCCUCAACUAACAAAGAGUGUAACUAAACUUUAGUGGAAUAAUCUGGAAAACAUAAUAACUUUUCAUGGAAAGGUAAUAGACCUUUCAUGCUAAGUGGACAGAACGUGUGGGGUCCUAUAGAUAAUCAAUAAUUCAAUCAUAUUUCUACAUUAUCUUUUUUAGCAAAAAUAUAUCUUUUUUAUAUUAUAUUUGAAACCCUCUCAAAUUUUUCACUUGACUUAUAUAAAUGAGGGUAAUUAACUGGACUGAACGUUUGACGUGGAUAACAUCGAACCGAAGAGAGGUGUCCGAACCGCUCGUCAGUGGCUCAAAAACUGCUUGGAAAAUGCUUGUUCGAUUUGAGGUUCGAUUGUAAACAAGCCGAUUUGCUCUGUUCGGUUUGUAAACAAGUCAAGCAUGAGCAAAUGUCUGCUCAGCUCGAUUCGACUUGAAUUAUUAUUUUUAAUUAGUGUAUAUAUACAUAUACACAUAAAUAUAUAAACAGUUAUAUACACAAAUAUAAAGGGCACAAAUGUAUAUACACACAGGGCAAUUAUAGGAAGAAAUCUCACAUUAGUUAAGAAAACUAAGAAACCCAAUGCCGCCAUAUACACCGCCGUCUCUCUCUCCUCGUACUCUCUCUCUCUCUCUGGAUCUCUCUCCUCCCUCGAUCUCUCUCCUCCCUCAAUCUCUCUCUCUCUCUUUCUCUCUCUCUCUCUCUCUCUCUUCAGAAACCCCCAAAUCGAAACCCUUGAAGAUGGUGAAAUUAGGGUUUCGGUUGAUGUUCUUGGCGGUGGUGGUGGUUGUGACGGGGGUGGGUGGUUGUGACGGUGGUGAUGCAGAGAGAGAACAAGAGGUUUGUGUGUGUAAAGUGUGUGUUUGUGUGUGUUGAGAAGAUCUUUUUGUAGAAUAAAAAAAACAAACCCCCUUCUCCCUGCAGACUGCAGACAUUUGGUUCACGUCUUCUCCUGCAGAUGCCUGUAGAUGUGGUCCGCAGACUGCAGACCUUUUACCUCUUCAAAAACAAACACCACCUUAGUUUUCUUAACUAAUAUGGGUUUUCUUUCUAUCCCUCCCCUACACAUACAUACAUCUAUACAUAAAUAUAAAUUAAAUUUAUAGUUUUAUAUAUAACACUCUACUAGAUUUCGGUACAUUAUAUACAAAUUUACAACUAUAUCUAUAUGUACUAAGCCCAAUC